AAGGACAAACAGCCAUUUUGUCUGCUGGACAGGGAUGUCGUAGGGGAGCGGUCGGGCUGAUUUUCUGGCAUUGCUUCGUAGCAGAAGGAGAAUGCUAAGUGAAAUUAGCUGUACAAAAUUGGUGUUUUAAAGCUAUUGAGCAAGAAACAAAAUUAACAUCAACAGCAGGUGGCAGUGCUAGCAAGAGCAGUGGUUCUGAUGUGAGUUGUCGGCUGGUGGUUUGUGUAGUUUCAGCUCUUCCGCAAAAGCAGUAGAGAGUGCCAGGAUCCUGUGUGCAGAGAGGACAAGACCAGCUCCCACUGAUGAUUGACCCCUGGAACACCUCAAGCAUUGUUGUGAGGUUCAAGUAGAAGCCUGCUGUAUGUUGGUGAAGUUCACCCACUGUGCUUCUUAGAAGAGAAAAUUAGUGAAAUUGGUAAAAAAAAUCAAAGAAGAAAACCUGUAAAGUUCCCAUGCUGUGACUGUGGCACACUCUUUACACCUCACCUCCUAAUUCUCUGACACAGAGAUUGACUGGAACACAUUCCCAGCACAGCUCUAUAAUAUGUCUCUGGCUUUCAACUCUCUCUGAAGAGAAUGUACUAGGUUACUGCACUGGCAGCCAGGUCUGUAUGUCUUAGAGAGAAAACCAGGCUCAGAGAAGGUUGACUGAAGGUAUGUUUCCAAGGCACCAGGCUGGCAGGAUAGUUGUGUCCAUCAGUUGCCCUGUCUAACCUGAAGGCAUACCCAUCAUAUGAGUACACAUAUAUACACAUAUGUCUUGUGGCUGUGAAAAACCACAUGCCUUUCCUGCAGAUUUUGCAGAUUGCAUUCUUGUACAUCAGUAUUCAGGUAAGUUGGAAAGCUUUCGCAAGCGGGAAGUGGAACUCAAAAAGAGAGUAAGUCAAUCUCAUGAAAAGGGCUUUAAAGCAUACUUUGUUUUUUAGGAGUUUUUUAUUCUUCGGAACAAAAAGUGUGCUGAAUUGUUGUCAGGCAUAUAUGGGUGUAAUUUGUGAGUACAAAGAAAUGCAAGCAAGUUUGUUGACUUAUUGCCGUAGUGAGACAAGUAAUAAUUUUAAUUAGAUUGUAAUGAAAAUUGUUGUGUCAUGUUCCCCCCCCUCCCCUAGCGAACUCAUUAUCUGAUUAGUCAAAAGGGAUAAAUAAUUCCUUACAUUUGCAUUCCUUUUUGUCAAGCAGUAUGGAUUUUUCCUUCAUAUAUACAAAGAAAUGAAACUGGCUAAUAAUGAAAUCAUUGAGCAUCCUUAACUAUAAAAAGAACCUUUUAAAUCCAGAACUAGAGGAGGGUUCUGCAUACAAAGCAAUCUGCACACAAAACAAUCUGAAUUUCCUAUCAGAGUAACAGAAAUGAGCUGGUCCAAACACACCUCAUUGGUUCCUUCCCAUUUCUGAUGGCCUUGAAGCAGGCUUAUGCUCCUUGAUACUGGCUUUCCUAUGCUUAUUUUUGUCUAUAGAGGCCUUUUUCUAUCCAGGAGAAGGAAGUGGUGUGUAUUUGCUUCUAUAUAUACACCCAUUCCAUCUUGCAGGGUGGGUGAUGUGGCAGUAUCCCAUGGGAGGAGAGGCGGGAUUCAGAAGAUCUGUACAAGAACGUUUUCUAUACAUUCUAGAAUGCAUUUGACCUGAUACUUUAAGUAUUAAAUCUACAGAGAAUUUUAUGUCUGUAAGCUUUGUCUCCUCCCUUUCUGAAGAGAGUUCUAGAAGACAAAACUGGAAAUUGAAAAGGAAAUCAGUUGCCCCAUACUCACCGGUCCUUUCAUAAACCCCACUUACGCUUUUUUAUUAUUUUUUAUUAUUAUGUAUUGGCCAAGUAUUUAAGCACAUCUUUAGUCCAAGCCAAUUCGGAGGGUGUUAGUAAAGGCCACCCCAAAGCAAGUAAUCUCUGAUUUGUAGUAAAGCUAGGUUAUGACUGAUAGUUUUAAAUAGAGUGAAGAUCUUGGAGGAGGCAAAACACUUGACUUGAUGUUCAGCUUGAGAAGACUUGCUUAUGGCUUGAACUAAGAUCAAGAAGAAGCAGCAGAUGUUGGAGGGGUGAUUACCAUUAUAAUAGAAUCAUUCAGGCAAUCCUAUUUAAUUUGAUUUACUUUGUUUUCUGUUAUACUCUCAGAUACCUUUCAGACAUACGAUUCUUUUUGUUUGGAGUCUAAUCCGUACUUCAUUAAAUCUAAUCCACUUGUAUUUGAAUAGUUCUGGACAUUUUUUUGCAUUGAUAUAUGUCAUUGGGAUGUAAGAAACUUCAAAAAACUCUUGUCAUCAAGCACAGACCUUUGUUAUUACAGUUGAGCUCAUCUUAAAUCCUGUUCAUCAGCUUAUCCAACUGUAAUUUAAAAACAAACUUAUUUGUUCUCCUGCAUCUGUAGGGUCUAAAUUUGACUCUUCUGAAGGUCAGAGGAUAUGAACUGGAGAAUCUGUCCUUUUACCUGAUGUGAAACUAGUGCUAAACAUAAUAUCACUCUUAGAAUAUAUAUUUUCCCACAGAUAGAUAAAUAAGAUUUGCUUAAGAAUUUUUUAAAAUUAAUUUGGAAAAUUUGCUGUUUUUCUGAACCUCUGGGAUUCUGUAUAUGACACCUUUUUCUAAGAUGGAAGCAACAGUGGCUUUUUCUUUCCCUCUGCUGACUUCUGGUUCACUGAUACACCUUCCCUCAUAGCAAUUUAAAGCACUGCCAACAAAAGAUGCUUUACCAUGUGUUGAAUCUGUCAAGCUUUUAACUAGUUUCUCCUCAGGUGUCCGCUGAAGAUGAAGCAGGUUUUGAACAAACGUGUCUCGGGGACCAUUGGUUAGCUAAUUUUUCAUCUGAGUUUCCAGCUACACCAGAAACCUGAGUAAGGAAAAAAAGAAGGAUAUUUUCAAGACAGAUUCUCACUGAAGUAGAAUAAGCAAUGCAGCGUUUGCUAUUUGUCUUUUGAGAUAAAUUUAACCACUUACCUUUGCCUGUUGCUUUGUUUUCUCUGUGUAAAUCACCAGCAGUGCAAAAUUUGACUGAAAAUACAGGCAGAGAUCUUUUGAGCACAUCUUCCUCGUACUUCCUAGAAAUUUAUGCUGACUGCUAUUUCUACCAUAGGGAAUUUCUAAUUUUGAAGCAGUCUUGGGGCAAAAGUGAUUCAUAAUGAGUUGGCAGUGUCUAAUAAACUUAUAAGUAGUUAUGUAUGAUUAUAAGAUAAUAAAGUAAUCAAAUAAUGUGUUUCCAAUGCUGCCAGUAAGAAGCUGCACUAGAAGCCAGGAGGGAGCAUGGCCAGGGCAGGUGAUCUGAACUGGCUGAAGUGGUAUGCCAUUCCAUAGAACAUCAUGCUCAGUACAUAAAGUAGAAGUCCUGAUUGCUGCGCAGGGACAGGCUGAGAAUCAGUUGACAGGUGGUGAGCAGUUGUAUUGUGCAUAAAUUUGGUUUCUUGGAUUUUAAUCCCAUUAUUAUUAUUAUUACUAUUAUUAUUAUUAUUGUUAAUUAUCAUUAUAUUAUGGUCUUAAUUUUUUCUUUUAUUUCAAUUUUUAUUUUAUAUCUGUUCUUAUGUCAGUCCACCAGUUUUACCUUUUUCUAAUUCUCCUUGCUAUCCAGAGUUGGUUGGUGGUGAGAAGGGAAAUGGGCAAGUGAUUGCAUGGUAAUUAGUUGUCCACCGGGGUUUAACCACUGUACCUACUAGUGCCUACAGGUGAGGCUGUUUUUCGGUAUUAUUAAAUCAACAUUUUCUUACAGUGCCUGUUAAACUGGCUAAAGAAUUCCAGCAAAUAACACACAUCAAAGUCCAGGGAACACUUGACAUGAAGAUUUUAAGUGAGAGAUGUUAAAACAUUUUCCGUUCUGCCUUGCAAUAUGGUAUCUAUGAGUUUUCCUACAUGCAUCCUGAGAUGUGAGUUUUUUGUUUUACUCUGAAAGCCUUUAGAGGUUUCUUGCUUUGCCAUUUAUUUUAAUGUGUGCGUCUUCCAAUGGGGUAGUCAAUUAAUUUGGCUUUUCAGUUCUUUCAUCUCAAAAUUCUGACAGGUCUAGCAGCUUUCACGGAAGAAGGUAUUUGGGUUUUUUUCUUUUUUUUUUUUUCACUUAAACAUUUGACUUUUUAUGUGAAUAUUAGCAAUGUAUUGUUGAGUAACCAUCCUGUAUCAAAAAGUCCUAAUUGCCUGUAUUCCAUGAGGUUAUCGACCAUGUUGUUUUCUUCAUGUUGAUAUACUUUCAUCAAAGUCUCGAGUCUUGAAAUAACAAGAUCUCACUCUGUCUAGAAGAGAUUUGGUUACAUAGAAAAUUUUUCACUGCUGCUUCUCAAGCAGCAUAAUCUGGACAGUUUGGGUGAUUCAUAUCCAGGGCUUCCUACAGCAUAUUUCACAAAGGCUGAAGUUCAGAUUUGAAAAGAAGCACUUACUUCUCCGACAAGCUAGCAGUAUCUUCUCCUAAUAUUGUGACUUUAAUAAACUGUGUGCGUUAUGUUCCCAUGAGUUUUGCUUUCUUUUUCUGACAAAAUACAAGUGACAUUUCUUGUACAUCUGAAAAUAAAUUAGAAAAGGAGAAAUAAACCAGUUUCAAGGACGCUGUAUCACAAAGCUGUUAGGAAAUCUUUUUUCAGUUGAAGAUAUGCUGUUGUGAACCAGUAGUUUCUUUCUUUGAGGUUAAGAAAUUUGAAAGAAAAGAUCACAUCACCCUAGCUGUUAGAGAAGUGGGAAACAGUAUCAGAUUGAAUUAAUGUGUACACAGAUAAUAUAGCACACUUCUUUCUAGAUAAAUAAUGGAAAUUAGUGGAAAUAAGUAUGAAUCUGAUGAAUUGUUCAGAAAUAAAUGAACUAUUUAAAACUAAAUAUGUGCAUAAGUGCUUCUGCUAGGCAGGGAAAUAUGUUCUUUUUCGAGUUAUCUAACCAUUGCUUUUCUAAUUCUUCAUUGCUGAGCCAUUCUAAAUGGCUCAGAUUAUGGUUCAGAACAUCCUAAAUUAAUAAUGAUAACAAAAGAUGUGUCUUACAGAACACUUACAGGUCUAAAGGUAAUGAUUGCAGUGUGCUGUUUCUAGCUUUAAAAUAUUUAGAAUGCAAAUACCAUAUAAAGAUAAUAAAGGAUGUGUAUAAUUUUGAAGAGUGAUGUAAACUGUAUAAUCAAUAAGAAGAUAUUUGUAAUAAAUUUGUUUACCAACUGACUGAAAAAUAGGUUGAGUUCACCUGUGUGUUACAUUUGUGCUUUUUUUGGAUUUGUAGAUGUUGGGAGUAAAAUUCAUUUAUAUGCAGGCGACAGGUUAUAUAUUCCUGUUAUUGAUUUCAUAUUUAUAUCUUGUUGUAGAAUUGCUGAUUCUUGUCUCUUUAAUGGCUUUGAUGGAAACAAGUCUCUUUAUUGCUGUUACUGUGUGUAACAUACCUCAGAACACAGGAUUGAGAGAAACUGGUGAUUUUACAGUUCCAGUCCUCUUUGAUAAAGUGUCUGAGAUGAAAUGAAUACACUUCUGAGACUGUUGCCUAGAGGCCAGGGAAACUGCUACAGUAAGUGUGGUUAAGGAUUGUCUGGGAAGCAACAACUGUGUAUGCAACUAAUGUUUCUUGAACUGCAGUAGUAUUCACUUUUGUAGCUUAAUGGACAAGACACUUGGCUAAUUGUAACUAUUUUUCUUCACGACUUUUAGCAUUGGAGUUAUCUGUCCAGAAAUGAGUCAGUGCUCAUGCUUUAUGGAUUGCAAAGAUGGAGUAGAAGAUAUGGAAGGAGUAAAGUUAAGGUGGAAUAAAUACCUGAAAGCAAAGUAAUCUGGGAAAAAUGUAAAAAACUUCAGGGUUUAGGCUAAGAGGUAGUUCCAAAUAGGCUUAAAGUCCUUUUUUCUUUUGAAUCCUUACUACAUGUGGAAAUAUUAUACAGACAGUGUGCUUGUUGAUAGAGGGGUUGUGAGAAAGGGGGUUGAAUACUCUGUUUCUUUUUAUUUUCUUUUGUUAUUUAGAGUGAGAUCAAAGAAAAUGUUAUUGUCUUAGCUUUUUCACUUCAGUUUAGGAUGUAUGUGUGUAAGUUUUGGUAGUGGCACUGUGGGGCUGCAGAGUGGCCUCUGUGAGGAGAAGCUGAGUCUCUCAUGUGCCCUACAGAGCAAAUUCUGGCCUAUUCCAUCCAGCUUCAGCAGACUCGCCACAGGGCACAAACCUUACACUGAAGACAUACUUUUACCUCUAUGUCAAGGUCCAGCUGAAUGCCUUAUAGUUCCCAGCAAAUGUAUGCAACACAUUUUUUACUUCUUUUCUUGGUCUUAUAAUCUUGAAAUAUCAAAACCUCUCACUGAUAUGUCAACAAAUGUAUAAGUAGGAGUUUUGUAACUAGUAUUUUAGUAGACUUAAUGACAUAUAUGAGAAGUUUUCAAAACUAUUUGAAUUCCUAUAUCACAUCCUAAUAUAAAAACAUUUACUCUGUUUUCUUUUUUAAUAGAGCUGCCAUCCAAUACAUAUAAUGGAAUAAGUCUCUUCUACAUUGCAAAAAUCAAUAUUCACAGAAAACAUGGCAACAAUAAUUAAGGGGAAUAAAUGUGUAUCUGCACUUAAUCUCAUUUCUCCCACUUUGGGGCCUUGACAAAUUCUGGUAGCCUAGUAGCAUUCUCACUCCUUUCUGAUUAUAUUCUUGUCAUAAAAAGCAUAUCAAUAAUUAAACCAUUAAUUAAAAAAAUCUCUGAAAUCUGGAGACAUAGCCCUUCAUAAUAGAUUCCAAUAUCUGCCCAUGCGUGACCACUAAAGUACAGACAGUCAUUUAAAACUGGUAAAGCCCAUAAAGGAAGGUUUGGUGGGAUGACCUUGGCUGGCAGUGACACCCAGUCACUCUUGCAGCCCUCCUUCUUAGCAGACCUUUGGAAGAACUUAAGAUGGAAAAGAUCAUGACUAAAGAUAAGAACAGGGAGAUCACUCACCAUUUACCGUCAUGGACAAAACAGACUCAACUUAGGAGAAAAUAUUUUAUUGCCGCUUUAGAUAGAGUUGAAUUGUGAGAAACAAAACCAGAAAGAUAAAAGAACUUUUCCUUAGCCCCUUUUUCUCAUUCUUAUGAUUGUGACACUUCACCAGUAAUAAUGGCAAAUAUGAAAAGUUUUCAAAACUGUUUUAAGUCUAUCUGUGUCCUGUCAAGAAUAUGCUAAUAGGAAAACUCCUUCACUUCUUCAUUUCCAGCUCCUCAAGGGACAGGGGUAGUGGUCAGCCCACAACAGGUCCUCUCUGCUGCUUCUUCCUUCUCACACUUGUUCGCUACAGGUCACUGCAGUUACUCUAUUGGUAUUGAUUAACCACGAACACUCAGUACUGAUUCACUUUGCUGCUGUACUUUAGAGGAAGGGAUGACUGAGAUUUGGUACCUCAUCUACUGCCCGUGGUGGCAUCCAGUAUUUCAUCAUACAAGUAUUGGCUUCUAAUACCUCUUUAAUACCCUCUGCUUUGUUUUGAAGCCAGUGGACCUAAAGUCAUAGUUUGUGUUUCAGUGAUACUGUUCACACUAAUGUAACAGUAAGUAUAUUGUUAUUUUGCUGGCAAAUACUUUAUUUUUAAAGGUUUAUAAGUUAGUCAUUAACAUAGCAUCUAAGGAAAUUGAGUAUUCAUAUCUUGAAUGUUGCAAUAGAAUAUUAUUCCCAAGAAAAAGGGCAACAUGUUCAUUAAAGAUUUUGAAACCUGCUGAAUCAUUAUUAAAAUUUUAUAUCUCAAGAUGCAAGACUCUGCCAUAUUAUGAAGAUAACAUAAAAAAAGGCUAGACAUGCUUAACUUGCAUUUCAAGAAAUAAUAUCAACAUGCAGUUACAAAAUGAGCAUCUGGGAUUCAUUCUUUUCUUCCGACUUGCUCUGUAGUUUGCUUGCUACUAUAGGGACAGAUCCUCAGCAGGUGUAAACUGUCAUAGCUCUGACAUCAGCAAGUCUGUGAAAGCUUAUCGUAGUGAAGAUAUGCUGCUGGUUUGUUUUUACGUAUUUGCUGUGCUUUUCCUGUCUCACAGACAAUGGAGAGGAGCUACUAAGCCUUCCAUCUCACUUCAGACUAGGCCUCCUGGCAGUAUUCCUUUUUGGUGAUGCUUUCUUGUUAAAUACCCAUUAUAUAUGUUAAGCUUCUAGCACUUCACACUUCUUUUAUGAACUAUCACUGAGAAAUAAUCGGAAACAUUUUAUAAUUCACAUGUUGAGUAAAGAGCACUGGUACACCAAUUAUUCCUCAGGAUGAGUCAGUUGUAAGCACAAACUGAAAGUCUGCAUUGGGAAUUUUAUAUGUAGAAUUGAUAGAUACCAUAUAGUUGUAGGAAAAAAACCCCUGCUUUUGUAUGCCUUAAUUUCAGGUUUCUUUUUUUUUUUCUGUGUUUUUGUGAGUAACCUUGUUUUUACUGCUUUGCUCUGUCCAGAUGCUGAAAAACAAUUUCGUAUUUACUGACUCAUGACAAUGCCUAUUAACUUCUGCAUAAUCUAGAUCUGAUGAUAAAACUGGCUUAGCAAACAAGUGAAGAUGACCUUUGGGAUAUCUGUUUAGUCCUUAGUGGCUAUCUGCUCGAAUCAUAGAGCCAUAAUACCAGAUGACUCCUGUCAGACCCUGCACAGGAGAGGUCCAGAUAAAGAAUAGCAGGGGUGUUAUAGAUCAGGACUGAAAUGCAUUCACAGAGCUCUGCAGGGAAGUUUGUGUAGCAUCUGCUAGUACCAUGUUGGGCAUUUUUAACCAUGGCUGUCAAUCCCUUACUUGAACAAAUACAGUAGAAAUUCACUUCAAGCCUCAGAAAACCUCUGUCAAUCCAUCAAAGAAACUUAAAUCCAACAGCAAAGUCAACGACCUAGAUUUCAGGAACAGAAGCAGAGAUGCUUAGGGAAAGGAGGUAAACAAAAGUAAACCUAUGGGUUGAACAUGCUAUCUACAACUGUUGUAGUUGCAGUUUUUCCUCCCAGUAGUGGGUGGGGUUUAAUUUAAAAAGUGAGAUAAGGAGUGUAGGUGUAAAAAAUGCAGAUAUGUUUUGCAUCUUCAUUGGCAUUUGCUGGAAUAACACUUUCAAAUAGAUUUUUAGAUAGUUUGUCUAAUAUGUUAUAUGUUUCUUAGGAUCUUUUUUUUUUUCAAAUGUAGUCCUUAUUUUAAAAUUCAUUGAAAGAUGAAAUUUCCAAGAGGAUUAUACAAUACUAUGUAAAGGACUAAGAAAUUUAGAAAAGAGAUUGAAGUCACAGAUAAGGAGAGCUACAGUUUUGUUACAGUGUUGUAUGCAUCUUAGUUGCUAGAAAACACUUUGGAAAAGAAAGAGAUGAAGAUAAAAGUGUCGCUGUCUUUCUUUCCCCUCUCCUUGUAAACUGCACCAGAAGCAUUGUGAGCUCUAUUUUGUUUUUUUUGAACAGUGACCAAUAUCUAGAAUAUGAAAGGAACAUUGAAGAUUGCAGUAGACAAUUUAUUUUACAUGACUUUCAUGCUUUUAUGCUUUUAUAUGUUAGUUAUUAAAACCGAAGUUCAUUUUGGCUAGCUUCUUUAUGAAGGGUUAUGUCUUCUCACGUUCAUAUGAAUGGGGACACGCAUUUAUCUUCCAUCAUAGUUAAAGACAGUAUUGCAUCUUAGAGGAUUUUUGUUCCUUUUAGACAAAGCGAAGACAGAAGUAACAGACAUGCUAACAAGUGCAGAACUGAGAACAUGGAGUAGAAUGUGCCCAGACAGAAUUAUUCUGAGAGAGACACUGCAAUGUAUAUAAAAUUUUGCACUCACGCAUCUAAACUAGUACAAUAACUAAUUUUGAAAUGCUAUUGACAGGUAAGUACAACUGACUAAAACUCGAUGUAAAAUAUUCCAGUCCUAUGGAAUUACAAACCCGGAUGAUUAAAGAGAAUAUAGUUCUUGUUAACUUGCAAUUUCCUAGACAGAAAAAGAAGGGAUAUAUUUUUAUUAGUGUUUACGUUCAUUAUUUAUAGAUACGUACCUUUGUUUAAA